UCACAUUGAUGCAACUUUAUUAUAAUAGACUGUUUGAAAUGUCCUAUUUUAUCAGUACUUGUUAAUCCCCUACUGUGUCUAGUUUAUAAGUUAAAGUUUAUCACAGGAAUAUAUGUACUGGAAAAAAUUAUCAUACAUAUAGUUGAGUGACAUUUCCAGUUUUAGGCAUCCCUUGGUAGGUUCUGCUCAGAGCAGAGAAACAAAUUUAUACUUAUGCCUAGAUGCUUUAACCUAAUCAACUUAACAAAGCCCAGAAGUUUGAUAAAACCAUAUUGUCAGCAAAUCUGUGAAAAAGCAAGGAGUCUUGUACGUUGUUGGUUGGCAUGUAAAUUAGAACAACCCUAAGGAAAACAACUGUGUGAUACCUACAAGAACAUGUAUAGCUUUUGGCCUAUCAACAGCACUUCAUGUAUUUACUCAUAUGGAAAUGUAUAUAGCCAAAUAAAAUACACUAAAGACCAUUCACUGUUUCAUAGUUUUUAGCAGCAGAAGAGAGGCAAUAACCUCACUGUGCUUAUCAAAGGACUAGUUUAAUAAUCAGCCUGCUGCCUAGAGAAGGCAAAAGCAGAGAUAAAAGCUUUUGGUGUGAGCUUUUGGUUACCUGAGCCAGAUGACUGGGGACAGGAAGGCCACCAGAGGCACUGGGGGGCACAGAAGUAAUAAGAGGUGCCCUGGUAGGGCGAGGUGGAGUGCCCUGGAGAACCACAAAAGAAAUUACAGUGAC